rnacentral:rRNA from 1 species
GACGAACGCUGGCGGCGUGCUUAACACAUGCAAGUCGAACGGAAAGGCCCUGCUUUUGUGGGGUGCUCGAGUGGCGAACGGGUGAGUAACACGUGAGUAACCUGCCCUUGACUUUGGGAUAACUUCAGGAAACUGGGGCUAAUACCGGAUAGGAGCUCCUGCUGCAUGGUGGGGGUGGGAAAGUUUCGGCGGUUGGGGAUGGACUCGCGGCUUAUCAGCUUGUUGGUGGGGUAGUGGCUUACCAAGGCUUUGACGGGUAGCCGGCCUGAGAGGGUGACCGGCCACAUUGGGCCUGAGAUGCGGCCCAGACUCCUACGGGGGGCAACAGUGGGGAAUAUUGCACAAUGGGCGGAAGCCUGAUGCAGCAACGCCGCGUGCGGGAUGACGGCCUUCGGGUUGUAAACCGCUUUCGCCUGUGACGAAGCGUGAGUGACGGUAAUGGGUAAAGAAGCACCGGCUAACUACGU